GCUCCGGACCCUGUGGCCGCCAGGCGCGGGGGCGUGCGCGCGGCGGGUCUGGGGCCGCAACCCUGUGGGCGCGGGGCUGGCUCUGGCCUCCGCCCCCCGGCGCGGUUAUCUGUCCCUGCUGCGCUGGUCCGUCAGCCUUCAGCCUCCCGAUACGGGCACGCCCCGCUCCCCUGCCCCUGCUGGGCAUUCUUCAGACUCCUUUGGGAAGAGAUCACGCCGCUUCUUCGGUUGAGACGCACUAGCGGGAGACCUGCUACUCUGCCUUCCUGCUCCGCGGCAUUGCCACUUCAGUAGAGAAAAACGUCCUGCUGCCCCAUUUAGCAAUUGGCACAGCCUCGCCACCGCCAGGGCUCCGCUGGCCUUGUUUCCUUUCAGUCGCCUGUGAGUUAGGUACUGCCUUCUGAGAGACCUGGACUAGUCCCUUCAGGUUCAACUAAAUGCAUAACACAACCCUACCCCCAGGACGCUGACAAUAGAAAGGAAGAGACUGUCCGCGGAGUAGACGAGUGCGCCUGUAAGAACUCGGGAUUUUCCAGCCUUAUUCUGCACCACUCUCCCCUACAUGCCCAGUUCCCUGUGGGUAAACUGGCUCUGCCCGAUUCCUCCAAGACGACACCUUUCCAUUUCACAGCCCUUCCUAACACUCUUCUGCGCCUGCAAUGUCCUCUCCCCAACAUCUGCCUGUUGGAAGCGUUUUCACUGUUCCUCGGCUCAGUCGGCUGAAAUAUCGCUUCUGAUUGCUCAGAGGGAUGUUUCCCACUGUGGCACUCGCUCCCUAGUUAUUCCAUACCUCUCUCAGGUCACUGACAAGACUUGGGUCUGUCAUGCCGCAGUGCCCCUCACAGUGCAGUCCUCGAUAAAUGUUUGCCCAGUGUUAUUGAACCCAGUUAUCUUGGGUGCUGAUACUAGUUCUGGAACUGGCAUGAAUUUGGCUCUUGCUAUGGACCGAAUUUUGUCCCCACCCCUAAUGUGUGUGCCGAAGCGCUGAACCCCAGUGUGAUGGUUAUUUGUAAAUGGGGCCUUUGGGAGGUAAUCGGAUUUGGAUGAGGUCAUGGAGGUAGCAGGUCAUGAUGGGAUGAGUGCCUUUAUUAGGAGAGACACCAAAGAGCUUGCUUUUCUCUCACACUCUCUGUCCCCUACCCCCAACCUCAGCCCUCACCUCCCUCCUCCAUGUGCGAACACAGCAAGAAGGCCGCCAUCUGCAAACCAGGAAGAGGUCCAUCACUGAGGGGCCAAAGUGGCACCUUGAGCUUGGACUUCCCAGGCUUCAAGAACUGUGAAAAAUAAAUCCCUGUUGUUGAAGCCCCCCAGCCUAUGUUAUUUUGUUGCAGCAGCCGGAGCUGACUGACACAGCCGCAUGAUCACCGGCAAGUUCCUCCAUCGCUUGGGACUCUCUUUUCUUCUCUGUCAAAUGUGAAUAUUAAAACCUGUCUCACUGCACCGCUUUGUGUGAUUGAACUUAAAAUGAAUGUACAAUAGUGAAAAGCAUGAAGUGACUUAAAUGUAAGGGGUAGGAGGGUAAAGCGAUGUAUUACUAAGUGCAGGUUCAUCUGCAAGUAUGUGGGAAAAGUAUCAAGUGACUACCUAAAUCCUCAUUGAGUUGUUGAGCCUAGGGUAGGACAUGUAGCCCCUCUGGGGCCUGUUACCUCACCUACAAAAUCAGGGCCUUGAACUCAGGGAAAAGCAAGUGAGAUAUCUGAGUUCAGUGGCGUGGAUAUUCAUGCUUUGGAGACUGUAUCUUCAAGACUGAGCUUUAAUAUCAUGGGAUAGUACAAGGAAAUACAGGAACAUAAUUUAGAGGGCCUUCAGUCUAAACUUAGGUCUUGAAAGAAGUUUAUUUGCAUUUUCAAGUUAUGGAAGGAUCGUUACUAAGAGUUGAUAGCCC
rnacentral:lncRNA from 1 species